rnacentral:rRNA from 1 species
AUACGUAGGUGGCAAGCGUUGUCCGGAAUUAUUGGGCGUAAAGCGCAUGUAGGCGGUGCCUUAAGUCUGUCGUGAAACUGCGGGGCCUAACCCCGUAUGGCGAUGGAAACUGUGGCACUUGAGUGCAGGAGAGGAAAGGGGAACUCCCAGUGUAGCGGUGAAAUGCGUAGAUAUUGGGAAGGACACCGGUGGCGAAGGCGCCUUUCUGGACUGUGUCUGACGCUGAGAGGCGAAAGCCAGGGUAGCGAACGGGAUUAGAUACCCCGGUAGUCCUGGCCGUAAACGAUGGGUACUAGGUGUGGGAGAUAUCGACCCCUUCCGUGCCGGAGUUAACGCAAUAAGUACCCCGCCUGGGGAGUACGGCCGCAAGGCUUAAACUCAAAGGAAUUGACGGGG